CCAAUAGCGUAUAUUAAAGUUGUUGCAGUUAAAAAGCUCGUAGUUGAAUUUCGGAAUCAGUAUGUCGGUCGUGCCUCCGGUAUGUACUGGCGUCACUGGUUCCUCCCUUCUGACGAACCAUCAUGCCAUUUACUUGGUGUGGUGGGAAAUCAGGACUGUUACUUUGAAAAAAUUAGAGUGUUUAAAGCAGGCUCACGCUUGAAUACAUUAGCAUGGAAUAAUGAAAUAGGACGUUGAUCUUAUUUUGUUGGUUUCUAGGAUUGACGUAAUGAUUAAUAGGGAUAGUUGGGGGCAUUAGUAUUCAAUUGUCAGAGGUGAAAUUCUUGGAUUUAUUGAAGACUAACUACUGCGAAAGCAUUUGCCAAGGAUGUUUUCAUUAAUCAAGAACGAAAGUUAGGGGAUCGAAGACGAUCAGAUACCGUCGUAGUCUUAACCAUAAACUAUGCCGACUAGGGAUCGGAUGAUGUUAAUUUUUUAAUGACUCAUUCGGCGCCUUACG
rnacentral:rRNA from 1 species